CGUGUAGGCGGUCAGGUAAGUGGAAUGUGAAAUGCCCCGGCUCACCCGGGGACCCGGCAUCCCAAACUGCCUGGCUUGAGUAUGGGAGAGGAUGGAGGAAUUCCUGGUGUAGCGGUGAAAUGCGUAGAUAUCAGGAGGAACACCGGUGGCGAAGGCGUCCAUCUGGCCCAAUACUGACGCUGAGGCGCGAAAAGCUAGGGGAGCAAACGG
rnacentral:rRNA from 1 species